rnacentral:rRNA from 1 species
GAUGAACGCUGGCGGCGUGCCUAAUACAUGCAAGUCGAGCGAACAGACGAGGAGCUUGCUCCUCUGACGUUGUCGGCGGACGGGUGAGUAACACGUGGAUAACCUACCUAUACGACUGGGAUAACUUCGGGAAACCGGAGCUAAUACCGGAUAAUAUAUUGACCCGCAUGGUUCAAUAGUUAAAGUCGGUUUUUCUGUCACUUAUAGCUGGAUACGCGCCGCAUUAGUUAGUUGGUAAGGUAACGGCUUAGCAAGGCAACGAUGCGUAGCCGACCUGAGAGGGUGAUCGGACACACUGGAAGUGAGACACGUUACAGACUCCGACGGGAAGAAGCAGUAGGGAAUCUUACGCAAUGGGCGAAAGCCUGACGGAGCAAAGCCGCGUGAGUGAUGAAGGUGUUCGGAUCGUAAAACUCUGUUAUUAGGGAAGAACAAAUGUGUAAGUACCUAUGAACGUCUUGACGGUACCGAAUCAGAAAGCUACGGCUAACUACGUG